rnacentral:tRNA from 1 species
GGGGCUGUUGCUCAGUGGCAGAGUGCUUGCCUGACAUGCAUGAGGCACUGGGUUCAAUCCUCAGCACCA